AACGAACGCUGGCGGCAGGCUUAACGCAUGCAAGUCGAACGAUCUGGGGGCUUCGGUCGCCGAUGCUAGUGGCGCACGGGUGAGUAACACGUGGGAAUAUUCCCUUUAGUACUGAAUAACCAAGGGGAACUUUGGCUAAUACCGGAUACGCCCUUCGGGGGAAAGAUUUAUCGCUAAAGGAUUAGCCCGCGUCUGGUUAGGUAGUUGGUGAGGUAAUGGCUCACCAAGCCGACGAUCAGUAGCUGGUCUGAGAGGAUGAUCAGCCACACUGGGGCUGCGACACGGCCCAGACUCCUACGGGAGGCAGCAGUGGGGAAUAUUGGACAAUGGGGGCAAACCUGAUCCAGCCAUGCCGCGUGAGUGAAGAAGCCCUUCGGGUUGUAAAGCUCUUUCGACGGGGACGAUGAUGACGGUACCCGUAUAAGAAGCCCCGGCAAACUUCGUG
rnacentral:rRNA from 1 species